UACGUAGGGGGCGAGCGUUGUCCGAAGUUACUGGGCGUAAAGAGCGCGUAGGCGGGUCUUUAAGUGAGGGGUGAAAGGUUCGGGCUCAACCCGGACACUGCCUUUCAUACUGGAGACCUUGAGUGCGGGAGGGGCGAGUGGAAUGGUCGGUGUAGCGGUGAAAUGCGUAGAUAUCGAUCGGAACACCCAUGGCGAAGGCAGCUCGCUGGCCUGCAACUGACGCUGAGGCGCGAAAGCGUGGGGAGCAAACAGG
rnacentral:rRNA from 1 species